rnacentral:tRNA from 1 species
UCGGGAUAGCUCAGCCGGUAGAGCAGAGGACUAAAAAUCCUCGUGUCACCAGUUU